rnacentral:rRNA from 1 species
ACAUGCAAGUCGAGCGGUAACAUUUCUAGCUUGCUAGAAGAUGACGAGCGGCGGACGGGUGAGUAAUGCUUGGGAAUAUGCCUUAGGGUGGGGGACAACAGUUGGAAACGACUGCUAAUACCGCAUAACGUCUACGGACCAAAGGGGGCUUCGGCUCUCGCCCUUAGAUUAGCCCAAGUGGGAUUAGCUAGUUGGUGAGGUAAUGGCUCACCAAGGCGACGAUCCCUAGCUGGUUUGAGAGGAUGAUCAGCCACACUGGAACUGAGACACGGUCCAGACUCCUGCGGGAGGCAGCAGUGGGGAAUAUUGCACAAUGGGCGCAAGCCUGAUGCAGCCAUGCUGCGUGUGUGAAGAAGGCCUUAGGGUUGUAAAGCACUUUCAGUAAGGAGGAAAGGUUAGUAGUUAAUACCUGCUAGCUGUGACGUUACUUACAGAAGAAGCACCGGCUAACUCCGUGCCAGCAGCCGCGGUAAUACGGAGGGUGCGAGCGUUAAUCGGAAUUACUGGGCGUAAAGCGUACGCAGGCGGUUUGUUAAGCGAGAUGUGAAAGCCCCGGGCUCAACCUGGGAACUGCAUUUCGAACUGGCAAACUAGAAUAUGAUAGAGGGUGGUAGAAUUUCAGGUGUAGCGGU